AAUGUUAAUGCAGCAAUGUUAAAAAAGCUCAUUCAGUGGUGCACCCACCACAGGGAUGACCCUCCUCCUCCUGACGAUGAUGAGAACAAAGAAAAGCGAACAGAUGAUAUUCCUGUUUGGGACCAAGAAUUCCUCAAAGUUGACCAAGGAACACUAUUUGAACUAAUUCUGGCUGCAAACUAUUUAGACAUCAAAGGUUUGCUUGAUGUUACAUGCAAGACUGUUGCCAAUAUGAUCAAGGGGAAAAGCCCUGAAGAGAUUCGCAAGACCCUCAAUAUAAAAAAUGACUUUACUGAAGAAGAGGAAGCCCAGGUACGCAGAGAGAACCAGUGGUGUGAACAAAAGUGAAAAGUUGUGCCCGACACUGUAACACUGUAAGGAUUGUUCCAAAUACUAGUUGCACUGCUCUGUUUAUAAUUGUUAAUAUUAGGCAAACAGUAGGCAAAUGCAGCAGCAAAUCAAUUGUAUUAGCAGAAUAUUGUCUUACCAAUGGACAUGGACAACAGGGGGAUGG